UACUCUGGUUUUUCUUCAGAUCGUGUAAAUAUUUCACCUUUUACUAAAGAUUUCCAUGGAAAGAAAUCAUCUAAGACAACAAAAUAAGUGCUAUAUAUAGUAAA
rfam:Pteropus alecto contig64566, whole genome shotgun sequence.